GAGACAGGCCCCGAACUGCAUGAUUGUGAAAGGAAGGUUUUCUGCUCCUGUAGAAGCCACAAGUCCAUAUGAAAUCAACCUUGUUUUAAGAAAAACGUGUUUUAUUCACAAUCUUAUGGAGAAAUACCACACUACCCAUAAUAAUAAGUGUUACAGCUAUGUCUCUGAUUGGUGGAGCUCGC